CGCGGGGUAGAGCAGUUGGUAGCUCGUCGGGCUCAUAACCCGGAGGUCGUAGGUUCAAGUCCUACCCCCGCAA
rnacentral:tRNA from 1 species